GAUAAACGCUGGCGGCGUGCCUAAUACAUGCAAGUCGAGCGAACGGACAACGGAUCUUCGGAACUGUUGGAAGUGAGCGGCGAACGGGUGAGUAACACGUAGGUAACCUGCCCUUGAGAUUGGGAUAACGGUUGGAAACGACUGCUAAUACCGAAUAGGAACAGCUGAGGCAUCUCGGCAGUUUAAAAGGAGCUUUCGGGCUUCACUUAAGGAUGGACCUGCGGCGCAUUAGCUAGUUGGUGGGGUAAUGGCCCACCAAGGCAACGAUGCGUAGCCGACCUGAGAGGGUGAUCGGCCACACUGGGACUGAGACACGGCCCAGACUCCUACGGGAGGCAGCAGUAGGGAA
rnacentral:rRNA from 1 species